AGAGUUUGAUCAUGGCUCAGAUUGAACGCUGGCGGCAGGCUUAACACAUGCAAGUCGAGCGGAGCGAGGGUGCUUGCACCUUAGCUUAGCGGCGGACGGGUGAGUAAUGCUUAGGAAUCUGCCUAUUAGUGGGGGACAACGUUUCGAAAGGAACGCUAAUACCGCAUACGUCCUACGGGAGAAAGCAGGGGAUCUUCGGACCUUGCGCUAAUAGAUGAGCCUAAGUCGGAUUAGCUAGUUGGUGGGGUAAAGGCCUACCAAGGCGACGAUCUGUAGCGGGUCUGAGAGGAUGAUCCGCCACACUGGGACUGAGACACGGCCCAGACUCCUACGGGAGGCAGCAGUGGGGAAUAUUGGACAAUGGGGGGAACCCUGAUCCAGCCAUGCCGCGUGUGUGAAGAAGGCCUUUUGGUUGUAAAGCACUUUAAGCGAGGAGGAGGCUACUUGGAUUAAUACUCUAGGAUAGUGGACGUUACUCGCAGAAUAAGCACCGGCUAACUCUGUGCCAGCAGCCGCGGUAAUACAGAGGGUGCGAGCGUUAAUCGGAUUUACUGGGCGUAAAGCGUGCGUAGGCGGCUUUUUAAGUCGGAUGUGAAAUCCCCGAGCUUAACUUGGGAAUUGCAUUCGAUACUGGGAAGCUAGAGUAUGGGAGAGGAUGGUAGAAUUCCAGGUGUAGCGGUGAAAUGCGUAGAGAUCUGGA
rnacentral:rRNA from 1 species